GGCGAACGCUGGCGGCGUGCUUAACACAUGCAAGUCGAACGGAAAGGCCUCUUUCGGGGGGUACUCGAGUGGCGAACGGGUGAGUAACACGUGAGUAACCUGCCCUUGACUUUGGGAUAACUUCAGGAAACUGGGGCUAAUACCGGAUAGGAGCUCCUGCUGCAUGGUGGGGGUUGGAAAGUUUCGGCGGUUGGGGAUGGACUCGCGGCUUAUCAGCUUGUUGGUGGGGUAGUGGCUUACCAAGGCUUUGACGGGUAGCCGGCCUGAGAGGGUGACCGGCCACAUUGGGACUGAGAUACGGCCCAGACUCCUACGGGAGGCAGCAGUGGGGAAUAUUGCACAAUGGGUGGAAGCCUGAUGCAGCAACGCCGUGUGCGGGAUGACGGCCUUCGGGUUGGAAACCGCUUUCGCUCAUGACGAAGCUUUGUGUGACGGUAGUGGGUAAAGAAGCACCGGCUAACUACGUG
rnacentral:rRNA from 1 species